UACAGGAUAAGAUAAAGGAGUCUAGUGGGUUCAUACCCCAAAAGUGGUUUUUUCUCUUGUAA
rnacentral:tRNA from 1 species